rnacentral:rRNA from 1 species
UACGUAGGGGGCAAGCGUUGUCCGGAAUCAUUGGGCGUAAAGAGCGUGUAGGCGGCCAGAAAAGUCCGCUGUGAAAACUCGAGGCUCAACUUCGAGCUGUCGGUGGAAACUUUCUGGCUAGAGUCCGGAAGAGGAGAAUGGAAUUCCUGGUGUAGCGGUGAAAUGCGCAGAUAUCAGGAGGAACACCGGUGGCGAAGGCGGGUCUCUGGGCCGAAACUGACGCUGAGGAGCGAAAGCGUGGGGAGCGAACAGG